rnacentral:lncRNA from 12 species
GCAUAUAUGAGUGCCUUGCUCAUACUCUUGAAGUUACCAGUUGUUUUGAUGCCUGAAUCAUUACAUAGUCAAAACUUUGCAGUAUAACUCAGCUUUAGGAAAAUUCACAAAAGGGGUGAAACUAGAACACUGCUGAGAUUAUUAAAAAUCUUACCUACUAUGAGACAUUGGAAU